CAGGAACGAAUGGAUGGAUCAGUGAUUUUGUCACUUGGAUCAAAUGCUAUUUCUACAGACAACAAACACAUCUGGAAAAAAAAAGUCUCUUUCUAAGUGCCUGCUACCAAUAUGAGAAUAUCUGGAGAAGUUGCAUGCUGCUGUCUUGUUGGAAAUGCAAGAUUUUAUGGUGACAAAAAUGGAUCCUGACAUUCAGCUUCUUCCUUAAUGAAAAAAAUAUAUUCUGUCUCUGAUUUCUUCAACCA